rnacentral:rRNA from 1 species
AUGGAGGUGGUGUGUUGGAAUGUCCGAGGGCUGAACAGCCCUGACAAGAGAAAGGCGCUCCGGGAGUUCGCUGACACGGUGCAUGUCGCGAUAAUUUGUAUUCUCGAAACGAAACUAGAGGUUGUUAACCAGUACACUAUGUUGCAAUGCAUUGGGCCAUCGUAUGAUGGAUUUGCGUAUCUUCCGGCGUUGGCGACUAGAGGUGGAAUCUUCAUUGCG